CGGGGACUAGGUCAUCGGUAGACCGCCGCGUUUGGGACGCGGAUGUACGGGGUUCAAUUCCCCGGUCCCCGA
rnacentral:tRNA from 1 species